AAUUCGAUGCAACGCGAAAACCUUACCUACCCUUGACAUGCUAGGAACUUGCCAGAGAUGGCUUGGUGCCCGAAAGGGAACCUAGACACAGGUGGCUGCAUGGCUGUCGUCAGCUCGUGUCGUGAGAUGUUGGGUUAAGUCCCGCAACGAGCGCAACCCUUGUCAUUAAUUGCCAUCAUUCAGUUGGGCACUUUAAUGAGACUGCCGGUGACAAACCGGAGGAAGGUGGGGAUGACGUCAAGUCCUCAUGGCCCUUAUGGGUAGGGCUUCACACGUAAUACAAUGGUCGGUACAGAGGGUUGCCAACCCGCGAGGGGGAGCCAAUCCCAGAAAACCGAUCGUAGUCCGGAUUGCAGUCUGCAACUCGACUGCAUGAAGUCGGAAUCGCUAGUAAUCGCGGAUCAGCAUGUCCGCGGUCGAAUACGUUCCCGGGCCUU
rnacentral:rRNA from 1 species